GACGAAGGACCCGAGCGUUAUCCGGAUUCAUUGGGUUUAAAGGGAGCGUAGGCGGCCUUAUAAGUCAGUGGUGAAAUCUUUGGGCUUAACCCAAAAAUUGCCAUUGAUACUGUAGGGCUUGAGUACAGUUGCUGUGGGCGGAAUAUGACAUGUAGUGGUGAAAUACAUAGAGAUGUCAUAGAACACCGAUUGCGAAGGCAGCUCACAAAACUGUAACUGACGCUGAGGCUCGAAAGUGCGGGGAUCAAACAGG
rnacentral:rRNA from 1 species